rnacentral:sRNA from 1 species
AUAUCUCUCUGUACGGGAAGGNNGACUAAGGUUCGAUUCGAGCGUCAGCGAGAAAGCGUUGCCGCAGGCAACGACCCGAAGGGCGAAACGCGCAGCGCUGAGUCAUCCUUCCCCCACCACCA